ensembl:lncRNA
CAUUGCUACCCACGUGCGCCUAGCUUAAGGAACCCGGGUCAAAAGGUGUGUGUGUGUUUGUGUGUGUGUGUUUGUAAUUCCCACUUAAGAAUGUGAGUGUUUGUCUUCUGUGUUCGUCCCACCUUAUCUGGCUCCGCCCCCUCCAGAGAGGGGCGUGGCUGUGAGUCAGGACUGUAGCAACCCCAACCCCUUUGUGCCGGGGGCACUCUGAGAAAUGCGCGUGUGCCAGAGAGCGCGUGGAUAAGAGUGUGCGUGCCGUGUGGUCAUCUCUCCCCUCACUGAGCAGCCAGUGUUCCCUGAAGUGGUCAGGUCCCGGGACGCCUACGAUCUGUGCGGCUCCGUUCCUUUAUGUUCCCGCUCUCCGGCUCCCCGGGGAGAGGACCCAGCGACAGCAGGAUCCAGUAGGCAGGAAGCUUCCAGAAUCAUCUCCAUGGUGACGCUGCCGCACCCGGCCUGACCAUGGACUGAAAGCCGGCCUCUGUCCCUCUGAGAGUGUGCACGUGUGUGCGUGUGCGUGUGCGUGUGUGUGGGGGGGGUCCAGGGAAGCCAUGUCUCUGAAGCGGACCGGGGCCCUGUUGCUGCUGUUCUUCUUCGUUGGUUCCGCCACGCAGGACAAAACGCCAGACACCCAUGUGACCUGCGUCAUCGCCGAGGACUGCUUCCUGCCCUGCUCCUUCCAGCCCUCCGGCCACGACGCCGUCGGCUGGUUCAGACAGGAAGUGGCGGUGCUCAGCUUCCUGUCGGCGGGCAGCGAGGAGGAAGAGGAGGAUGACGACGAGGACAAAGAGGAGGACGAGGGGGACGAGGACGAGGAGCGCGGGCAGCACUACGACGACCGGGCCAGUGUCUCCCCGGAGCAGGUCGCCCGCGGCAAC